GGUAAUGUAGGACAAUGGUAGUCCACCUCCUUCAUACGGAGAAUGCUAGUGGUUCGAGUCCACUCAUUACCACCA
rnacentral:tRNA from 1 species